AGCAGGUGGCAGCCAGGACUUCCAGGUCUCAAAGGGUCCUUCAAAAAAGUCUUAGAAUCCUCGCUCCUCAGCUGAGGAAGGAGGAAAAGCCUUGUAUCGGGCAAGUCAAAAUCCUAGCCUUCUAGCCAGGCCUCGGUUUUAGCUGGUUUGAAAUAAACUUAAGAAAAAGAAGCUUUCAGAAUACCUCAAGAGACUUACUGGUGAGCCAAAGGGUUAUUUGGCUGCCUUUUAAUUUUCUACUCUAUGUUACUCAGCAUUUAGUAUUAGUACAUGAGCUGAGCCAAAUGCUUGCGAAAUUUCUUCUCUCUUAACAUGUCUGAGCAGACUUGACCCUCCCCCGGCUGAGGAGGCUGACUCAGUGUUUUGCUUGGGACCAGACAUCUGCUUCAAAGCAUAUGAGAGGCAGGGGCCUUUGGGCUCCAGGAGGGAAGAAACUGUCUCUUGUUCGUCUUUGUAUUCUUGGAACUCCGGCACACAGCUAGGAAUCCUGACCGAAUCCUGAAAAUAGCAGAGUGAUUGAAGUGUAGGACAUCCACUUCUAUACCUGCUGGGAAAGGGCACAAAGCAACCCAAGCUGGGCAUAUGGUCCACAGUCUGGUGCAGAUGCAUGUGGCCAUGACUAUGGGCUCUUCAAUGGAAUGUGGGCAGAAAUGAUAUGCACCAUUUCCAGGCCUGAUCCAGAAGCUUCCCAGGAGCGUCCCUCCAUGCUCUGCCUAGGGUGAUGGCAAUCAACGCAGCCAUGGAAGCCACAUGUUCAAGAUGGCAGAGCCCCAUGAGCCAGGAUCCUGAAUGACCAUGCAAGCAACCUGGAAUAUUUACCCUGGGUAGUUAAGAACCAGGCUGCGAGUCUUCAGCGGCAAGGGGUCUUCCCCCUAACUCCCUCGGGGGCCCGCGGUGCCAGUCUUUAAGGACCUUUGCAGCUCGGAGUCAGACAGACGGCCCACAAGAGGGCGAUCUAGAACCAGUCAGCAACCAGAUGUAUAAACGUAGAAAUGGCUGUAAAGACGAACAGCAUCCUGGGAAGCUUGGCCGGAUUGAAGGAGGACCAGGGAUGGUCGGAGGCUCCCGUCCACCCUCGGGCGAAGGCGGGGUGCUUUCCACACGCUCAGAAAUCUCCCAAGACACAUCACAGGACGCAGUGAUAAACUGAACGGUGUUUAAAAAAUGCAAUUGGAUGAGGUGUUUGCAGAGUAAAGAGCACACGGCAGGCAGAGAAAAAGAGACAACAGAGGGCAGGCAGACAUGGGGGGACGGAGGGUACCCUCGGGAACCUUGGCCAGGGGCUCGGGUCUGCUCCCUGGAACAGCACGGAAAACCAGGACUCUCGCCGCUUAUCGGUGGAACACAGAGAAAUCCUCAAUAGCUAUUCCUAUCACCGCAGUUGGAAACGAUACAACAGAAUGGCUGGCUGUCUUACGGCUGUUCUUUAAAUUUGCCAUUAGGAGCACCCUCUCAAAGAUUUAAACUGUGAAUGGUCAACUCAACAACAAAAAAUCAAACAACCCCAUCAAACAAUGGGCUGGAGACAUGAACAGACAUUUCUCCAAAGAAGAUAUACGGAUGGCCAAUAGGCACAUGAAAAGAUGCUCAUCAUCGCUGAUCAUCAGGGAAAUGCAAAUCAAAACUACGCUAAGAUAUCACCUUACACCCAUUAGAAUGACAAAAAUAUCUAAAACUAAUAGUAGCAAAUGUUGGAGAGGUUGUGGAGAAAAAGGAACCCUCAUACACUGCUGGUAGGAAUGCAUACUGGUGCAGCCACUAUGGAAAACAGUAUGGAGAUUCCUCAAAAAAUUAAAAAUAGAAAUACCAUAUGACCCAGCUAUUCCACUACUGGGUAUCUAUCCACAGAGCUUGAAGUCAGCAAUUCCAAAA
ensembl:lncRNA